rnacentral:rRNA from 1 species
AUUGAACGCUGGCGGCAGGCCUAACACAUGCAAGUCGAACGGUAACAGGAAGAAGCUUGCUUCUUUGCUGACGAGUGGCGGACGGGUAAGUAAUGUCUGGGAAACUGCCUGAUGGAGGGGGAUAACUACUGGAAACGGUAGCUAAUACCGCAUAACGUCGCAAGUCCAAAGAGGGGGACCUUCGGGCCUCUUGCCAUCGGAUGUGCCCAGAUGGGAUUAGCUAGUAGGUGGGGUAACGGCUCACCUAGGCGACGAUCCCUAGCUGGUCUGAGAGGAUGACCAGCCACACUGGAACUGAGACACGGUCCAGACUCCUACGGGAGGCAGCAGUGGGGAAUAUUGCACAAUGGGCGCAAGCCUGAUGCAGCCAUGCCGCGUGUAUGAAGAAGGCCUUCGGGUUGUAAAGUACUUUCAGCGGGGAGGAAGGGAGUAAAGUUAAUACCUUUGCUCAUUGACGUUACCCGCAGAAGAAGCACCGGCUAACUCCGUG